rnacentral:rRNA from 1 species
CCUACGGGAGGCAGCAGUGAGGAAUAUUGGUCAAUGGACGAGAGUCUGAACCAGCCAAGCAGCGUGAAGGAUGACUGCCUUAUGGUUUGUAAACUUUUUUUAUAAAGGAAUAAAACGAGGCACGUGUGCAUUUUUGCAUGAACUUUAUGUAUAAGGCUCGGCUAACUCCGUGCCAGCAGCCGCGGUAAUACGGCGGAUCCGAUCGUUAUCCGGAUUGAUUGGGGUUAAAGGGAGCGUAGAUGGGUGGUUAAGUCAGUUGUGAAAGUUUCCGGCUCAACCGUGAAAUUGCAAUUGAUACUGGCAGUCUUGAGUGCAGUUGAGGUAGGCGGAAUUCGUGGUGUAGCGGUGAAAUGCUUAGAUAUCACGAAGAACCCCGAUGGCGAAGGCAGCUUACUAAACUGUGACUGACAUUGAUGCUCGAAAGUGUGGGUAUCAAACAGGAUUAGAUACCCGUGUAGUC